AGUGUCAUGAUUGUGAUUGGCUGCUGAGCAAUGUGCCGUUGCUAAGAUCAAGAUGCUGUGCAACAUGGAGUUUAGCGGAGAGCAAACUGGACCUCAUGCACGAGUCCUUCAUAAGUGAUCCAAUCAGCAUCAGGUGGAAUGUAGAGGGUGCAGGUUAAGAAGGACAUGGGAUAGGACAUGGAGUGAGUGUGUGUGUCAGAUCAUGAGGACUCGACCACCAGAAGAUAUUUGUGAGUGUCAUGAUUUUGAUUGGCUGCUGAGCAAUGUGCUGUUGCUAAGAUCAAGAUGCUGUGCAACAUGGAGUUUAGCGGAGAGCAAACUGGACCUAAUGCACGAGUUCUUCAUAAGUGAUCCAAUCAGCAUCAGAUUCUGAGAACUGUGGGGCCCAGACUCGACCAACAGAAGGCCAGGACUGUCACUUCUGAUGACCAAGCUGCAGGAUGAGUUUGAGAACCAAACCAGAAAUUGGAGAUGAGUGUGAAAUGAUUGUGAUUGGCUGCUGUCUCUCCCAGAGCAACGUGCCGUUGCUAAGAUCAAGAUGCUGUGCAACAUGGAGUUUAGCGGAGAGCAAACUGGACCUCAUGCACGAGUCCUUCAUAAGUGAUCCAAUCAGCAUCAGGUGGAAUGUAGAGGGUGCAGGUUAAGAAGGACAUGGGAUAGGACAUGGAGUGAGUGUGUGUGUCAGAUCAUGAGGACUCGACCACCAGAAGAUAUUUGAGCUGUGGUCUCUGAUCCGGUUCUGGACCCUCUGGAGCUGCAGGAGAACAUCUGGACGCCACUAAAGCCUUUGGAGAAGAAGAAGAGGGUGUGUGUGAGUGUGUGUGUGUGUGUGUCUUUGCUUUUGAAGAAGAGAAGAAGACCUCAACCACAUCCUUCAUAAGUCAAAUCGACAGGUAUGAAUAUCAUGUGUGAACUAGGGAUGCAACGGUAUGCGGUAUAUUAUCGUACCAAAAGAUGCCCCCCACUGUUCUGUGGCUGACGUGAACCGCAAUAAGUCGGUAGAUCUGUCAUUAAUGAUUUGCAAACGUUUAUCA